rnacentral:rRNA from 1 species
GGAUGAGCCCGCGGCCUAUCAGCUUGUUGGUGGGGUGAUGGCCUACCAAGGCGACGACGGGUAGCCGGCCUGAGAGGGCGACCGGCCACACUGGGACUGAGACACGGCCCAGACUCCUACGGGAGGCAGCAGUGGGGAAUAUUGCACAAUGGGCGCAAGCCUGAUGCAGCGACGCCGCGUGAGGGAUGACGGCCUUCGGGUUGUAAACCUCUUUCAGCAGGGAAGAAGCGCGAGUGACGGUACCUGCAGAAGAAGCACCGGCUAACUACGUGCCAGCAGCCGCGG